UACGUAGGGUGCAAGCGUUGUCCGGAAUUAUUGGGCGUAAAGAGCUCGUAGGCGGUCUGUCGCGUCUGCUGUGAAAACUCGGGGCUUAACCCCGGGCCUGCAGUGGGUACGGGCAGACUAGAGUGUGGUAGGGGAGACUGAAAUUCCUGGUGUAGCGGUGAAAUGCGCAGAUAUCAGGAGGAACACCGGUGGCGAAGGCGGGUCUCUGGGCCGAUACUGACGCUGAGGAGCGAAAGCGUGGGGAGCGAACAGG
rnacentral:rRNA from 1 species